rnacentral:rRNA from 1 species
UACGGAGGGUGCAAGCGUUAUCCGGAUUCACUGGGUUUAAAGGGUGCGUAGGCGGCGUAGUAAGUCCGUGGUGAAAGCCCACAGCUCAACUGUGGAACUGCCAUGGAUACUGCUAGGCUUGAGUACAGACGAGGUAGGCGGAAUGGAUAGUGUAGCGGUGAAAUGCAUAGAUACUAUCCAGAACACCGAUUGCGUAGGCAGCUUACUAGACUGUAACUGACGCUGAGGCACGAAAGCGUGGGGAGCGAACAGG